CGGCAUACAUAGGCAGUAUGUGUCAAUGUGUUAUAAAUGUGUGCUCUUUAAAAAGUAGAAAGCAUUGUUUGCCAGUUACUUACAUGAAAUGUUUAAAAAUCUGUUACGUAAGAUACCGCUUAUAUUAUUUCAUCAUCUAUACACAAAUGUAAUUAUUGAAUGCACGUGUGCGUGGGUGGGGCUGCAUGGGCGUGGUAAUGUGGGCUGGUGUGGCUACAGUGCCAUGGCUGAAUUUUUGUCCCAGUCCGCCCAUUUCUAAACCUCCUCU